AUCUGCAAUACGCAUAACCGGCACAUACGGGUACUUCGCUAAAACUCAAGGCCGUGCCCCCUUUUGGGGGAUAGAAAACAGACGAUCCCAUAGAAGUCAAUGCAAUUUGACGUGUGUUUGGAUCAUAAUUUUGACAAAUGUGUGUGGUUGUCUUUCUUGUUAAACAGAUGGUUUGUUUUAUACACAUGUCUAAUGUUUAUUUUGUGACCUUGCCUGAACCUGAGCAUUCACGAUACCUUAAUGAACUAAGGUUGAUCGC